rnacentral:rRNA from 1 species
AUACGUAGGGGGCGAGCGUUGUCCGGAAUGAUUGGGCGUAAAGGGCGCGUAGGCGGCCUAUCAAGUCAGUAGUGGAAGUCCAGCUUUCAAGGUUGGAAGUGCUAUUGAAACUGAUGGGCUUGAGUGCAGGAGAGGUUAUCGGAAUUCCCGGUGUAGCGGUGAAAUGCGUAGAGAUCGGGAGGAACACCAGUGGCGAAGGCGGGUAACUGGACUGCAACUGACGCUGAGGCGCGAAAGUGUGGGGAGCAAACAGGAUUAGAUACCCUGGUAGUCCACACUGUAAACGAUGAAUGCUAGGUGUAGGGGGUAUCGACCCCUUCUGUGCCGCAGUAAACACAAUAAGCAUUCCGCCUGGGGAGUACGGUCGCAAGAUUAAA